ensembl:scaRNA
UGGCCCAUGAUGACUAGACCACUGCGCAAUCUGAGUUCUGGGAACCAGGUGAUGGAGUGUGUUGUAACAGACUGAGGCCG